rnacentral:piRNA from 1 species
UUGGAACAGGCUCUGUGCCCAAGCUGGCAGA